rnacentral:rRNA from 1 species
AGGAAGGCUCUUGGGUCGUAAACCUCUUUUCUCAGGGAAGAACACAAUGACGGUACCUGAGGAAUAAGCAUCGGCUAACUCCGUGCCAGCAGCCGCGGUAAUACGGAGGAUGCAAGCGUUAUCCGGAAUGAUUGGGCGUAAAGCGUCCGCAGGUGGCGAUGUAAGUCUGCUGUUAAAGAGUCUAGCUCAACUAGAUAAGAGCAGUGGAAACUACAUAGCUAGAGUACGUUCGGGGCAGAGGGAAUUCCUGGUGUAGCGGUGAAAUGCGUAGAGAUCAGGAAGAACACCAGUGGCGAAGGCGCUCUGCUAGGCCGUAACUGACACUGAGGGACGAAAGCUAGGGGAGCGAAUGGGAUUAGAUA